rnacentral:rRNA from 1 species
UACGGGGGGGGCAAGCGUUGUUCGGAAUUACUGGGCGUAAAGGGCUCGUAGGUGGCCAACUAAGUCAGACGUGAAAUCCCUCGGCUUAACCGGGGGACUGCGUCUGAUACUGGAUGGCUUGAGUUUGGGAGAGGGAUGCGGAAUUCCAGGUGUAGCGGUGAAAUGCGUAGAUAUCUGGAGGAACACCGGUGGCGAAGGCGGCAUCCUGGACCAAUACUGACACUGAGGAGCGAAAGCCAGGGGAGCAAACGGG